AGGACGAACGCUGGCGGCGUGCUUAACACAUGCAAGUCGAGCGGAAAGGCCCUUCGGGGUACUCGAGCGGCGAACGGGUGAGUAACACGUGAGUAAUCUGCCCCUAGCUCUGGGAUAGCUCCGGGAAACCGGGAUUAAUACCAGAUACGACCACUCUAGACAUCUUCUGUGGUGGAAAGAAUUUCGGCUGGGGAUGAACUCGCGGCCUAUCAGCUUGUUGGUGAGGUAACGGCUCACCAAGGCUACGACGGGUA
rnacentral:rRNA from 1 species